rnacentral:misc_RNA from 1 species
AAAAGAGGGGAAAUAGAGAAUGACGAAAACAUGGUAAAAGCGAGAAGCACUCCGAGUGUGCUGAAAAACGAAACUACCGGAUGUUUACGUCGAAAACAUAAUGAAAGAAAAGCCAUGGCGCAAAGAGAAGCCCUGCGAAAACGCAUCGUGGAGCAUUUACGGCAUUCUAACGACGGAACAAGUAGCUUAAAGGAAAUAGUUCAAAAUCUUGGAGCAGAUAAAAAAUGCAUUAAUCAAAUUCUUUAUUCACUUAAAAGAGCAAACGCCAUAUCACAAGUUUCUUAUGUUCCUCCUGUUUGGAAGUUGAGGGAUUAUGGAUUGGCAAUAAGAGCGCCAGUAUGGUCGCAAAACAGCAAGUUAAAAUACCGUCCCACAUCUCCAAAAAAGAAUAUUUCAAGGAAUAAGACUGUUGAUCAACGUCAUGUACAAUCAAUUUUGGAGUAUCUCAAAUCUAAGAGGAUGCCCGUGAAAACAAUAGACAUUGCCAAAGGACUGGGAUUUAAAUCUUCUUCAGAAAUCAAUCCUGUACUUUACAGAAUGGAGAAGAACGGGAUCGUGAGAAUGUGUGAAGGAGAGAAGGUGAUGUGGACCCUAAAUUCUGAUGGGGAAUCACAGCAGGCAGCGUUAUUAAAUGAUCCUGGAAUUGUUGGAUUUGGGACAAGAAUUAAGAGUGAACCGCAGCAAAGUAUGGGAGGGUUUUCAGUGCAAGAAGUAGAUUUUGUGCAGCCAAUGAGUUUACACUCAGGAAACGUUAAAUGGGAAAGUAAUGAUGUCAGUGAUGAUGACCCUUUCAUGGGAAAUGUGAGUUGUUCACAGUUGUCUGAGGUAGGAUAUGAGUCUUCACAAUCAGAACCUAGUCUGGGUUUUGAUCAAAUAAAUGAUGCCAGAAGGGUCCUGAGGAACCAAGGCUUCACAAGUGUUGAUGAUGGAAGUGACUGGCCAAGUACAGAGAAUGAGAUGGAUGUGAACACAGGGACUAUGUCACCUCUCUGUCAGUCCACACCUAUUCUUCCGAGUCCGAACGACGACUCAGCUACUCAGUAUGAGGAUGAAACUUGUGCUGCAUCCACAAACUCUUGUGAUAUGGAAGAUUCUUCUACACAGAAGAUUGACAGUGUUUUAAAAGGAUUAUCUCUGUGCAACCAAAAUGGAGGGGUGUCCUUUAUUAUUUCUAGAAAAGCUCAGAUGGAUAAAUCAGAUACUGAGGAAUGUCUUCAGAAAUGUCAGGAACUAAACUAUGUAUCUGCAACUAAAUCGGGAUCAGAUGUCGUUUAUUCUCUGACAGAAGCAGGUGAAAAGUAUAUCAAAAGCAAAGUGACCAAAAGUAAACCAAAGAUGGAACAGACAGUUCCACAGAUACGUGCUCCCCCAAGAAUCACGAACACAGAAUUCAGAGGCCCUCCCCCUGCACCAGCUAGUCUAGUCCAAAACCCAGAGAGUCAGUUUUAUAACCAACAUUCUUCAAGAUUACCCAGUAACCAGACCUCUGAAACAGGAAGGAUCAGUGAAGAACCCAUGGACCCUUCUGCACCCCAACCAUUAAUGAGUAUACUGACUGGUCCAAGUAUAGUAAAUUCCCAAUCUCUGCGAGGCUUUUCAUCAAAUCCUUCAUCAUACUCCAGUACAACUCCGUUUCAAAAUGCUGGCAACUCAAAUUCCUUUUUUCAACCCCGUGUUUCUUUCUUUGGAAGAGGUUUUAGUAGUGCAGGAAACUUAAAGAAUUUCAGUACAAUCCCAUUUCCUGGAUUCAAUACAAGACCACCAGCACCUGUAGAAAUAAUAAGUAAACAGUUAAACAAGACAGAGAUAUCUUCAACAACGAAACCAGAGCUUAUUUCAACAAGUCAUGUCAACAAGGGACUCCAGAAACUGUUAUCACAAUCUGCAACAACCACAAAUCCUCAGCAAUUCAACCAGUCUACUAGUUCCUCUUUAUAUGACAGUGCUAUUGGUGAUUUGAAUAGUGGACCACGUUCGCUUGGAAUGCCAGCAAGAACCUGUGGUUAUUCAGAGGCAAUGGAUAGACAGCCAAAGUCUUUGCCAAUGAUGAGAUCUACAAACCCUUUCUUACCUAGUUCCUUGGACUUGAACUCGGAGAGUUUCGCUGCAUUGAACAAAAAUCCUGUUAGUGCACUCAUGGAGUAUGCUCAAUCUCGACACCAAGAAGCAGAAAUCAGGGUGAUUUCACAAAGUGGACCCUCACAUAAGCCAAAAUUUGUGAUGGGAGUAUUCAUUGGGGGUAAACAGAUUGCAGAGGUGACCUGCUCCAACAAAAAAGAUGGCAGAAAGGAAGCAGCAGACAAGGCUUUGAGAGCUCUCAUUGCAUCAGGGGACUACAAGGGCUCAAACAGUGCAACUGCAUCAAAGCCCCAGGUUCCCCUGGACAAGAUGACACACUUUGACAAGGUCGCCGCCCUGGUACACAGGUCUUUCAAUGAGUUGUCGGCCAGUAUUAGCGAGAACUUCUCCGGAAGGAAGGUGAUAGCAGGGUUUGUGAUGAAAAUGGCUGAGCAUGAUAUUGGAACUGUUAUCUCCAUUGGUACAGGAAAUAGGUGUAUUACUGGGCCCCAACUCAGUUUGGAGGGAAACACAGUGAAUGAUUCCCAUGCUGAAAUCAUUACUAGGCGGGGCUUCAUAAGGUUUAUGUACAAGCAGUUGCAGGCCUAUAGGCCCGGUGCACCUCAUCGACUCUUUGAACCAUCUCCAUCAGGAAAACUUCGCCUGAAAGAUAACAUUACAUUUCAUCUGUACAUUUCCACUGCCCCAUGUGGGGAUGGGGCCUUAUUUUCUCCAAGGGAUGAAGCGUCUAAUAAUGCUGCUCUAAACAGCAUAGAUGAUAGAACUCACAAUCCCACCUUCACCAGUGCUGCUCAGGGUCUCGUCAGAACCAAAAUGGAAGGAGGUGAGGGAACAAUUCCUGUGGAGGAGGACUUCACUGUCCAGACUUUCGACGGAAUACAGCGCGGAGAGAGACUGCGAACCAUGUCCUGUACGGACAAACUCUGUCGCUGGAAUGUGGUAGGGAUGCAGGGGGCCCUUCUCAGUCACCUAAUGGACCCUGUGUAUCUGGAUUCAUUGACCUUAGGAUUGUUGUAUGAUCAUGGCCACCUAGCCCGAGCCAUGUGUUGCCGACUAGCUCGUGGUGUCCCUGAUAUUAACAGCCUGCUCUCCAAACCCUUCUAUCUGAACCAUCCGUGGCUUGGAAGGGUUACAGUUUGUGAUGUCCCCAGGGAAACACAGAAAACGAAGGCCCUCAGUGUCAAUUGGUGCUUUGGAGAUGCAGAACCUGAGGUCACAGAUGGAACCCUUGGACUGUGUUGUACAAGCAUUGAGAAGACCUUAUUUUCUAGAUGUUCCAAGAGAAAUCUGUAUGACAACUUCAAGCAGGUGUGUGCAGAUUUAGGAAAACAGGAUUUGUUGAACUUCCCAACAUAUGGAAAGGCCAAAACGGCUGCAGCAGAUUUUCAAACUGCUAAAAAAGCACUUAUAAAGAAAUUCAAAGACAAUGGUUAUGGUAUCUGGGUCUCUAAGCCUCCAGAGGAGGAGAUGUUCUCGUGAGGCUUGUGAAGGGUUUGGCAAUUCAUGGUGCUUGUACAACUAUAGGGGCAUUACAGUAGAUGUUUAGAAAUGUAUCAUCAUGUGUUCAAUGCAUACUGAGUAUGUGCCAUCUUAUUUUGGUCACCAUGUGAAAAUAACAAGGAACUUGUACUUGGAGAGUAUGAUGGGAUUAGGGACAAAGGUUUGGUCCUAAACUUGCAGUGGAAUUGUUGCACUGGAAUGAUGUAAUGUUUUUGGUGACCUAUUUUUGAAAAGAAUUGUUUUAUGUUCAAUCAAUGUUUAUAGAUUUUUAUACUCAACAUGUUGUUUUGCCAUAUUUUUGUUUCAUUUCCAGAGAACAGAAAGUAUCUGAAAGUUAUUUGUUGUUUAAAUGAUAUAGAUUGUUGCAGAAUUUUAAUGAUUGAACUUUAAGCUUUUUUGAUUUAAGAACGUGGAUAUUAAAUACUGAACACUGUACAUGUUUUGUUAUGUGUUACGUGGUGUAUUGAUUGUGAAGUCAUCUUCUGAAUCAUGUUUCUAAGGACCCAGUUUCAAAUGGAUGGUUUUAAACUCUUGCUUCAAAAUAAAGAUAUUCUAAUACCGGCUAUGUAAAACCCCAUUCUUGGUUUUUAAGUCUGGCCAGUGAGAUUUACAAAAUUUUAUUUUGAAAAGUGUGUGUAAAAAGGAGACAUACUGUAUCAAGAUUUAAUAUACUGGUACUCAUAGUUUAAUUUAAAAAACUCUGUAUGUUGCCUUUAAGCUUUUUUGUGUAUACUUGCAUGCGUGUUGAUAUUUUGUGCUUUAAGGGCUGAAAACUAUCACAGCCCCCGAAGUCAAAGGAUUGCAUUUGUUUGUGUGUAAAACACUUGCUGUAAUUUACAACUACUAGUAUAUUUGACAGACUUAAAUGUUGUUUCAUUGUCCAUUGUGUCCAUUGUUAUUAAGGGGUGGCUGGUUUUAUGGAGUGUAAUUAUAUAUAGAUUAGACAAUCAUGAAAUCGAUUUUGAAUCAGAUACAGGGGAGUAAGGUCAGGGUCUUUGAACAAGGUCAAGGAUUUAGUGAUGGAGCAGAAUACAUGGUCUAAAGAAUACAUACAAUUUCGGUCUAUAUCAGUACAUUAUGCCUAUGUUUGGAUAGCCACUUCAUAACAGCACUGUUAUAAUACUUCAUAACAGCAGAGGCGUGUAGCUCCGGUAUGCAAAUAUAUGUUCGUGGAUUGAUAUUUGGGGCGAAAUUAACAUUUUAUCAAUUCACAAGUUCGCUUGUGUUGUCUAUGUAGGCAAGACUCAUUUACCCGAAGUACUC